CCAUCCCCGUGCAUCCCACCCCCAUGCAUUGCACGCACAGUUCUGUGUCUGCGUUGGUGGUUGGGAUGAGUGUGCUGCAAUCCCUGCACCGCACUGCUGUUCUUGCUGCAUGCUGGGAUCUGAUCCGUGCACCGUGCUGCAAUCCGUGCUGCAUGUCACGAUCCGAUCCAUGCACCGUGCUGCAGCCUGUGCUGCAAUCCAUGCGCCAUGCAGUGACCCAAUCCACGCACUGUGCCGCAAUCCAUGCAACACGCGGUGAUUGGAUCCAUGCAACUGUGCUGCAAUCCAUGCAACGCGCUGUGAUCCGAUGCAUGCAGCUGUGCUGCAAUCCAUGCAGCUGUGCUCUGUUUCGUGCAAUGUUCUGUGCUCUGAUCCAUGCAUUGUGCUGCAAUCUGUGCAGCCAUGCUGUAUUCCAUGCAGUCUGUGCUGCAAUCCAUGCAGCAGUGCUGUGUUCCAUGCAGCCGUGCUGUGAUUCAGUCCAUGCGGUCUGUGCUGCAAUCCAUGCAGCUGAGCUGUGUUCCAUGCAACGUUCUGUGCUCUGACCCAUGCAGUCUGUGCUGCAAUCCAUGCAGGUGUGCUGUGCUCCAUGCGGGUGUGCUCUGAUCGGCGCUGCAGUCCAUGCAGCCGUGUUGUGCUCCAUGCAGAUGUGCUCUGUUUGAUGCUGCAGCCCAUGCAGCAGUGCUGUGCUCCAUGCAGCAGUGCAGCAGUCCAUGCAGCCAUGCUGUGAUUCAGUCCAUGCAGUCUGUGCUGCAGUCCAUGCAGCCGUGCUGUGUUCCAUGCAACGUUCUGAGGUCUGAUCCAUGCAUUGUGCUGCAAUCCAUGCAGCCAUGCUGUGUUCCAUGCAAUGUGCUGUGCUCUGAUCCAUGCAGCAGUGCAGCAGUCCAUGCAGCCAUGCUCUGAUCCGUCCCAUGCAUUGUGCUGCAACCCAUGCAGCCGUGCUGUGCUCCAUGCAGGUGUGCUCUGAUUGGUGCUGCAAUUCAUGCAGCCGUGCUGUGUUCCAUGCAGUGUGCUGUGCUCUGAUCCAUGCAGCUGUGCUGCAACCCAUGCAGCCGUGCUGUGUUCCAUGCAGUGUGCUGUGCUCUGAUCCAUGCAGCUGUGCUGCAAUCCAUGCAGCUGUGCUCUGAUCUGUUCCAUGCAGUCUGUGCUGCAAUCCAUGCAGCCGUGCUAUGCUCCAUGCAAUGUGCUCUGAUUGGUGCUGCAAUCCAUGCAGCCGUGCUCUGAUCCGUUCCAUGCACUGUGCUGCAACCCAUGCAGCCGUGCUGCGGCCCAUGCAACACGUUGUGAUGCAUGCAGCCACGCUGCAAAUCCAUGCAACGCACUGCAAUCUGUGCUGCAGCCCGUGCAGCUGAGCUGUGAUCUCUGCAGCGCAUUGCAAUGCAUGCAGCCAUGCUGCAAUCGGUGCUGCAGCCCAUGCAGCCAUGCUGCAGCCCAUGCAACAUGUUGUGAUGCAUGCAGC
ensembl:lncRNA